AGGACGAACGCUGGCGGCGUGCUUAACACAUGCAAGUCGAGCGGAAAGGCCCUUCGGGGUACUCGAGCGGCGAACGGGUGAGUAACACGUGAGUAAUCUGCCCCUAGCUCUGGGAUAGCUCCGGGAAAACCGGGAUUAAUACCAGAUACGACCACUUUAGACAUCUGUUGUGGUGGAAAGAAUUUUGGCUAGGGAUGAGCUCGCGGCCUAUCAGCUUGUUGGUGAGGUAACGGCUCACCAAGGCGACGACGGGUAGCCGGCCUGAGAGGGCGACCGGCCACACUGGGACUGAGACACGGCCCAGACUCCUACGGGAGGCAGCAGUGGGGAAUAUUGCGCAAUGGGCGAAAGCCUGACGCAGCGACGCCGCGUGGGGGAUGAAGGCCUUCGGGUUGUAAACCCCUUUCAGCAGGACGAAGCGAAAGUGACGGUACCUGCAGAAGAAGCGCCGGCUAACUACGUGCCAGCAGCCGC
rnacentral:rRNA from 1 species